rnacentral:rRNA from 1 species
ACGCGCGAUCGCCUUGAGUUUGAUAUGGCUCGAACGAACGCUGGCGGCGUGGAUAAGACAUGCAAGUCGAACGGGACAUCAUGAGUAGCAAUACAAGUGGUGUCUAGUGGCGAACGGGUGCGUAACACGUGGAUACAUUCCGGGAAGCGGGGGAUAGCCCAGGGAAACUUGGAUUAAUACCGCAUGUGGUCGAAAGACUAAAGGCAGGGACCGCAAGGCCUGCCACUUCCCGAUUGGUCCGCGGCCUAUCAGCUAGUUGGCGGGGUAAAAGCCCACCAAGGCUACGACGGGUAGCUGGUCUUAGAGGACGACCAGCCACACUGGAACUGAGACACGGUCCAGACACCUACGGGUGGCAGCAGUCGAGAAUCUUUCACAAUGGGGGCAACCCUGAUGGAGCGACGCCGCGUGGAGGAUAAGGUCUUCGGAUUGUAAACUCCUGUCAUGUGUGAACAAGGUUGUCGUGUUAAUAGCAUGGCAAAUUGAUGGUAACACAAGAGGAAGAGACGGCUAACUCUGUGCCAGCAGCCGCGGUAAUACAGAGGUCUCAAGCGUUGUUCGGAAUCACUAGGCGUAAAGGGUGCGUAGGUGGCGUGGAAAGUCAGAUGUGAAAGCCCGGGGCUCAACCUCGGAAUUGCAUCCGAUACUACCAUGCUAGAGUACUGAAGAGGUGACUAGAAUUCUCGGUGUAGCAGUGAAAUGCGUAGAUAUCGAGAGGAAUACCAACGGCGAAGGCAGGUCACUGGGCAGUUACUGACACUGAG